NNGCGCCAUCGUGGUGCGCAUCGGCAUCCCCGACCUGCAGCAGACGGUGAGUGAGGAGAGAGCGCGGAGAGAGGCGGGAGGGAGCGCGGAGAGAGCCGGGAUGGGCGGCGGGAGAGCCGGGAGGGGCAGCCGGGAUCACCGGGAGGGGCAGCGGGAGCCGCACCGGGAUCACCGGGAUGGACAGUGGGAGCCGCAGCCGGGAUCCGCACCGGGAUGGGCAGCGGGAGCCGCAGCCGGGAUGAGCAGCGGGAGCCGCAGCGGCAGCGCCGCCGCGAUUCGCCCGUGUUGGGAUGCGCAGCUCGGAGCGGUUCCGAUCUGCGCUCGGAGCGGCCGCGACCCGCAAACAAACCGGCCCCGAUCCGUACCCAAAAACCGGCCCCGACCCGCAAACAAACCGACCCCGACCCGCGCCGGGAUGCGCAGCCCGGACCGGCCCCAUCAUCGCCCAAACCGGCCCCGACCCGCACCCAAAAACCGGCCCCCAUCCGCACUCAGAGCGGCCCCGAUCCGCACCCGGACUGGCCCCGACCUUCUCUCAGAGCGGCCGCGAUCCGCACCCGGAUCCUCACCCGGUUCGGCGCCGCACCGGGACUGGCCGCGAGCCGCAUCCCGCCCGCUCCCGGCUCCGUUCCCGUCCCCGCUCCCGCUCCCGGUCCCUCUCCCGGCCCUUCUCCCGGCCCCGCUCCGGCCCCGCAUCUCGCCCGUUCCAGUCCCGCUCCCGGCCCUCUCCCGGCCCCGCUGCCCAAACUUCUCCCCGCCACGGGCCCGGCACGACGGGCUGCACUGCCCGGGUCCGCACUGCCCCGCUCCUCGGUGCCCCGGUUCCCAUCCCUGUCCCCAUCCCGGUGUCCCCAUCCCGGCGUCUCCAUCCCGGUUCCCAUCCCGGUGUCUCCAUCCCGGUGUCUCCAUCCCGGUCCCCAUCCCGGCGUCCCCAUCCCGGCGUCUCCAUCCCAGUUCCCAUCCCGGUGUCUCCAUCCUGGUUCCCAUCCCUGUCCCCAUCCCGGUGUCUCCAUCCCGGUGUCCCCAUCCCGGUGUCACCAUCCCGGUGUCCCCAUCCCGGUGUCCCCAUCCCGGUGUCUCCAUCCCGGUGUCCCCAUCCCGGUGUCACCAUCCCGGUUCCCAUCCCGGUGUCCCCAUCCCGGUGUCCCCAUCCCGGUGUCCCCAUCCCGGCGUCCCCAUCCUGGUGUCCCCAUCCUGGUGUCCCCAUCCCGGUGUCCCCUCCGGUCCCUGCAGCCCCCGCUGGCAGCGCUGCCGUCCCGCUCCAGGGGUCCGCACCCACCGGGACCGGGCUGGGAACGGGACCGGGAUUGGGAUGCGGAGCAGGAUGGGAACGGGGGCGGCUCUGGGACCGGGAUUGGCACCAGGAACAGGAUCAGCUCUGGGACUGGGGUUGGGAUUGGGAACAGGACCAGGAUCAGCUCUGGGACUGGGACUGGGAUUGGGAUUGGGAGCAGGAUCAGAUCUGGGACCAGAAUUUGGACCAGGAACAGGAUCAACUCUGGGACCAGGAUUGGGAUUUGGACCGGGACCAGCAGGGCUGGGCUGGGGAGGUCACAGCACUGGUGUGGGAUGGUCACUCGUGUCCAGGGUGCUGCGCUGGGCUGGACAGCGCUGGGGGGGUGGACACUGGAGUGGGGUGGGAUGGACACUGGAGUGGCAUGGGAUGUCCACCUGGUGUGGGAUGGACACUGGAGUCUCAGUGAUGGACACUGGAGUGGCGUGGGGAGUGAUGGACACUGGAGUGCGGUGGGAUGGACACUGGAGUGGUGUGGGAUGGGAUGGACACUGGAAUGUGAGUGAUGGACACUGGAAUGG
ensembl:lncRNA